AAAUCGAAUAAAAUAUUUGAUACGGCAUUAUUAACUUUCGUGCGUUUUCAGAGUUUGAUAACAUGAUUUUUGUAACAUUGAUUAUUAAACAGAAAAAUACAAGUCAGUUAGAUUUUUUCUGCAGAUUUCAAAAAAUGUUGAGAUAUAAGGAUCACAAAAAAAUAAAUGCAUAAAGUAUAAAUUUUUAUAGAACAUUUUUAAUAACAUCCAUAAAGUUGUAAUAAACAAUACCAUAAAUUAUUAACUGACAAAUUUCGAAGAAUGCAUUGAUAUUAAAUUGAGAUCUCAAAUCAAUGCUGUGUUUUGUAAGUACAACAAUAAUUUUACAGAUUUCAGAAUAAAGUGUG